CCCUCCGGAAACAUCCGAAAAUUCCCGUCGCCAGCGCAAAAGCACUUGAGCUUCCCACAACGGCAACAACACAGCACACCGGAAAUCGAUCGUUUUCUGGUGCGCUUCGGUGGCGCAUGGAGAACAUGGUCGCGGAUCCGUGGUAAACCCUUCUGCAGCUCUCAACGACCACCAUCAACACUCCCCCCACCCACCAAAAAAAAAAAAACAAGCAACAAGAGGUAGUGACCGACGGUGCCGGUCCAUUAACUGCACGGUACAUUAAGGUCUGGUAGCUUGAAUUUUGAUUUCAGGAACACACACUCACACAAGCCUGAUCGCGUCUCUCUCUCUAUAUAUAUCUAUCUCUCUCUCUCUCUCUCUCUCUCUCUCUCUCUCUUUAUAUCUCUCUUUCUACUCUCUCUCGUUGUUGAAUGGCCAAAUAUCGAGCAAACUCCAACCCAGUAACCAACCCUGGACAGGUGAAAAUGUGUUUUUAAGUACCAUCACCCCUGUUUACUCUCUUCUCCUUUUCCCUUUUCCCACAACCGAAGCUGAAAUGGUCAAUACGCGUGGGUGUAAUAAUUGCCAACCAAUAACUGCACACACACACACACACACACACACUGUGCGAAAUUAAUAAGAGAGGGCGAAGAGAUGCAUUCGAUUCACCUUUUCGAUAUCUUUCCCGUUUCGCUUUCUCCCUUCACCGGAAAAGGAGGAUUUAGGAGGGCGAUGGAUUACAAGAGGGGGAUGGGAGGCAGGGGAGCGGGUUUACAAAACAACGACACAGCAUUGGCAGAAGAACGGCGGCGGCCACUUGCCUGCAAUCACAUUUCAUUCACGGCUAUGAAGCAAAACAACAUUACCACACUCUUUAGCUCAACACCGAAGAAGUCAAGAAUCGCAGGUAACCAAAUUCUGAAUUUUGGUCGAUUUUUGUAAUGAAAUAGAGCCCCCCAAAAUAUACAUUUCUACGUACGGCUGGAACCCACGAUGGGCAUGUUGUUAGGUCGUACGAGUUGACGACUGUACCACGAGACCGGAUACGCUUGAACAUGACACAAAGUUGUUAUUAUCGUUCUGCACUGUUUGGCGUACACUUAUGCACCGUAUUUAAGUAUUUUAAAGUAAGGCAAAUGAGAUCUCCAGCGGAUGGAUAUGAUUCGCCAUCAAAUUAAACACUUUUCACAUAAGCCCGUCACAAUGGGGAGAAAUUGAUACAAUAAAAAUCCUAUUUCAGCUUGUCUUGUAGUAGGCACGUAUUGCAAAAAGUCUAAAUUUCCACUUCCACUUCAAUCUCUGUUAAAGAAUGGGACA